rnacentral:tRNA from 1 species
GAUUCCGUAGUGUAGCGGUUAUCACGAUCGCCUCACACGCGAAAGGUCCCCGGUUCGAACCCGGGCGGAAUCA